ACUUGAAGUCGGUCGCCUGUGCCCGCAGCAAGUUUACUUCCUGUUUCAACUUCACGACGUUAUUUUCUGCCUCGAGGUUCUGCUCCCCGGAUUCCAGGAAGUCGCUUUCCUCCUUGACCAUCUCGGCUUCUCGUUUCCGCUCGAGCGCCCUCACCGGCUUCAUGACUUGCCCGCAGCGUCCGCAGAUGCCUGUCUCCCCUGGACUCUCCAUGAGCCGCAGAGGCCCUGCCGGGACUCCCCGCUGGUGAUGUCGGGGAGACCCCGGCGUUAGGGUCACUCAGAGUCCGCGCGGGCAGAGACCCGGGCCCUGCCUGCUCCGACGGGGCGGAGAAGGAGGACAGGUCGCCAGCCCCUGAGCAACGGCCGCACCCCGUCGCGCGUGGCUGAAUCCCAGCCUGCACCGCGUGUGGCUCAAUCCCAGCCUGCACCGCGAGGCUUCCUUCCGGUGCACCCUGCCGGCGCCCGCGUCUUCUGCUGACAGGCCGAGGUUCCUGGACUUCAGGAACUCUUUCAAGGAGGACGGGUUUGUGGUCUCCAAAGUGUUUCUGCAGCGCUGGCAGGGGUCUGCUUGCUACGCUUCCCCCUUCCACAGCCAAAAUCUGUGUCUCCCACCGACGCCAGCACUGGGCUGGGCACACAGCACAGAAAGCUCUGCCAAAUGCCCAGGUCCCUGCAGUCGAGGCGCUCGCACUCUAGCGUGAGGAAUGACCAGGCUCCAGACUCGGGACAACGGGAGCGCACCCGGAAGGGGGCCCGCGGGCCCAGGGGCUGGCCCGGCCUAGCACGGAGGAAGAAGGGGCCCUUGGCCCUGGCCCCAAGUGCGCCGUGGCCCCUGUCGUCCACUGCCACCACUCUCGGAGCCUCUCACCACAGCGUCCUCCGGUAACAAGCAGUUGGCAGGAACACAGCUGUGACCACAGCUCAAGGACACCAGGACCCAGGUUCUUGGUCCUCUUUGGUUUUCUUCACCACAGACCAAUGGUUGCUCCUACUCCUCUGGAAGCUUCUCUGCAUUAGACGAAGGGUGAGUCUUCUUUUCCUUCUUUUUCCUCCCAUAUUCACAUAUUAAAGGUUUUUUUUUUUUUUUUUUUUUUUUCUGGAAACUUCAUCCAGUGACUUCAGCUUGCACAAUUCAUAUGCCAUUCCAUCAGAAUGCCUGGAAAUGUAGUCUUUUAGUUAGUCAUGUUGUUGUUAUCAACAAAAUUGAGAUUUGUUUCUAAGGAAGAAUAGGAGAGGGUAUGCCAGUCUGAGGGGCAAAUUGGCAGUACUACCAGAAGACUGCUCAGUCCUAACUCCUCAGGUACGUCCUUAACACUUCCUUGUCUGCUCUGCUCCACGGGUUCUGCACUCAUGGACUCAACCAACUACAGUUGGAAAGUAUUUGCAAAAAGAAUAAGGGUCUGCAUUGAAUACACAGACUGUCUUGUUGUUCCCUAAGAAAUAAGCAUAACAACUAUUUACAUUGUUUUGAUUAUUAGAACUAAUCUAUACAUAAUGUAAAAAACAUGGAGAAGGUGAGUAGGUUGUGGUUGUUUGCAAACACUAUGCCAUCUUACGCAAGGCACUCGGAGUCUUGGAACCAGUCCUCCAUAGACAACAAGAGAUGGCUGUACUUAAUUCUGGUGUGAUUUCCUUUUGGGAGUGGGUUCUGUUCUCCCUCAUGACCUCAGAUUUCUUACUUGAAUGCCCACUAUAUGAGCUUAGGUAGCGGAGCACAUUUCUUCUAAGGCCAGUGAUGCUGACUGACAAGUGCAGCUCAGCCUGAGUCACAUCACUUUGUGUGGAGAAUGUUGAAUUCAGCUCUUGGUAGAUGAAGCACCUUGUGCCAACCUUAGGAAAAUGUGUUGAAGGUACACCAGUGCAGUUUAUUCAAGGGUAGCCAUUGUUCCUCUGACAAAGUUAAGAAUUGAUAGCCUUAGCUUUAGUUGUGCUAGAAACUGCUCAUUAAUUUCUGAUGAACUGGGGCUGGCGCUGUGGUGCAGUGGGUAAAAGCCCUGGCCUGAAGUACUGAUAUCCCAUAUGCCGACUGCUCCUCUUCUGAUCCAGCUCUCUGCUAUGGCCUGGGAAAGCAGUGGAAGAUGGCCCAAGUCCUUGGGCCCCUGCACCCAUGUGGGAGACCUGGAAGAAGCUCCUGGCUCCUGGCUUUAGAUUGGCGUAACUCCGGCUGUUGUGGCCAUCUGGGGAGUAAUCCAGUGGAUCAAAGACCUCUCUUCUGGCCAUCUGGGGAGUAAUCCAGUAGAUCGAAGACCUCUCUUCUGUCUGUCUCUCUGUCUCUCUGUCUCUCUCUCUCUCUCUCUCUCUGUAACUCUGUCUUUCAAAUAAAUAAAAUAAAUCUUUUAAAAAAAUAAUAAUU
ensembl:lncRNA